rnacentral:rRNA from 1 species
AGGGGUUUGAUCCUGGCUCAGAACGAACGCUGGCGGCGUGCUUAAGACAUGCAAGUCGAACGGAAAGGCUUUUCACUCUUCGGAGUGACGAGUACUCGAGUGGCGCACGGGUGAGUAACGCGUGGGUAAUCUGCCCUCAGGUUUGGGACAACUCCGGGAAACUGGAGCUAAUACCGAAUAAGACCACGAGGUCCUUGGGCCUUGCGGAAAAAGGUGGCCUCUUCUUGAAAGCUAUCGCCUGUUGAUGAGCCCGCGUCCCAUUAGCUUGUUGGUGAGGUAAAAGCUCACCAAGGCAUCGAUGGGUAGCUGGUCUGAGAGGAUGAUCAGCCACACUGGAACUGGGACACGGUCCAGACUCCUACGGGAGGCAGCAGUCGGGAAUCUUGCACAAUGGGCGAAAGCCUGAUGCAGCAACGCCGCGUGAGGGAUGAAGGCCCUCGGGUCGUAAACCUCUGUCGGAAGGGAAGAAAGUAUUUUGGGCUAAUACCCCAGAGUAUCGACGG